CCUUGACAGUUGCAUGGUGCGACUGACANUUGCCAAGACAAGGAGAUUGAUAUG
rnacentral:sRNA from 12 species